UUGUGAAAUGCAAGUAUGUAUUUGGAAUCACACACGUCCCUCGGUUGGAAGAUUGGCCUGUUAAGCCAGUGGAGCGCAUUGGCUUUAUGCUUAUGCCUCAUGGGUUCUUCAACUGCUCUCCUGCUGUAGAUGUUCCUCCCAACUCCUAUGAAUUGGAUGCCAACGGAAAUGAUGUCAAGGGCAAUGGGAUAGCCAAGACAAUUCAGCCUGCAUUGCUGGCGAAGAUGUGAAGAGAUGUUGCUCUCAUGUGAAUGUCUUUUAUAUGUAAAAGAAAGGUGACAUUCUGUUGCUUUCAAUUCAAGCAAGCAAUAAGUGGGGAGUUCUUCAAUCUCUAUAAAAUGGAACUUUAUUCUGAUUC